UGACCUAAACCCUCACCAGAGUAACAAUUGGAGGGCAAGUCUGGUGCCAGCAGCCGCGGUAAUUCCAGCUCCAAUAGCGUAUAUUAAACUUGUUGCAGUUAAAAAGCUCGUAGUUGAAUUUUUGCGUCACCGUGUAUCGACAUUUGUCGUUUAUCGGUUUCGCUUUUGGGAUUUAUCCCUUUUUACUUUGAGAAAAUUAGAGUGUUUCAAGCAGACUUUUGUCUUGAAUACUUCAGCAUGGAAUAAUAGAGUAGGACUUUGGUUCUAUUUUGUUGGUUUGUGAACCUUAGUAAUGGUUAAUAGGAACGGUUGGGGGCAUUCGUAUUUAACUGUCAGAGGUGAAAUUCUUAGAUUUGUUAAAGACGAACUACUGCGAAAGCAUUUGCCAAGGACGUUUUCAUUAAUCAAGAACGAAAGUUAGGGGAUCGAAGACGAUCAGAUACCGUCGUAGUCCUAACCAUAAACUAUGCCGACUAGGGAUUGGAGGUCGUCAUUUUUCCGACUCCUUCAGCACCUU
rnacentral:rRNA from 2 species